rnacentral:rRNA from 1 species
UACGUAGGGGGCUAGCGUUGUCCGGAAUCAUUGGGCGUAAAGCGCGCGUAGGCGGCCCGGUAAGUCCGUUGUGAAAGUCAAAGGCUCAACCUUUGAAAGCCGAUGGAUACUGCCGGGCUGGAGUCCGGAAGAGGCGAGUGGAAUUCACGGUGUAGCAGUGAAAUGCGUAGAUAUCGUGAGGAAGACCAGUGGCGAAGGCGGAUCUCUGGACAGUUCCUGACGCUGAGGCGCGAAGGCCAGGGGAGCAAACGGG